GACGUAGGGCGCGAGCGUUGUCCGGAUUUAUUGGGCGUAAAGAGCUCGUAGGCGGCUUGUCGCGUCGACUGUGAAAUCCCGCGGCUCAACUGCGGGUCUGCAGCCGAUACGGGCAGGCUAGAGUUCGGUAGGGGGAGACUGGAAUUCCUGGUGUAGCGGUGAAAUGCGCAGAUAUCAGGAGGAACACCGGUGGCGAAAGGCGGGGUCUCUGGGGCCGAUACUGACGCUGAGGAGCGAAAAGCGUGGGGGAGCGAAACAGG
rnacentral:rRNA from 1 species